UACAGAGGGUGCAAGCGUUAAUCGGAAUUACUGGGCGUAAAGCGUGCGUAGGCGGUCCGCAAAGUCUGAUGUGAAAGCCCCGGGCUCAACCUGGGAACUGCAUUGGAAACUAACGGGCUCGAGUGUGGCAGAGGGGGGUGGAAUUCCACGUGUAGCAGUGAAAUGCGUAGAGAUGUGGAGGAACACCGAUGGCGAAGGCAGCCCCCUGGGCUAACACUGACGCUCAGGCACGAAAGCGUGGGGAGCAAACAGG
rnacentral:rRNA from 1 species